ensembl:lncRNA novel transcript
ACGCCAGGACAGCCCCGAAGACGAGAAUGCCUCGCUCCUCCUAGGACGGGAGGAAAAUCCCACAAAUCCUGUCUACUCCAAGCAGCCGCGCCCCUCGGGAGACCACCCCAGUUGGAGGGGCCCACUCCAGCCACCGCUACACCGGGACGCGCUCCUCCUCCCCCUGUGCCCGCCCCUUCUCGUGAGGGACCACCAGGAGGCCCCUCGAUUCCCCAGCAAAACACAGGUUUUGGAGCCAGAGUUUCUGAGUUUGAAUGUUUGGUCUGCUACUGACCAACUCUAUGGGCUUGGGCCUGCAAAGAAAACAUCAAAGAAGAAGGUCAAAAACCAAUUACAUUCUAGGAGUGACCUUGAUGACUUAACUCUGUAAUCUGCAGCAACCUCAGAGGAUCAUGGGAUGCAUUAUGCACGUCAUGGAAUGGAUUGUAAUGUGUAACAUCUAUGAAAUCAAAGGAUGAAGAAGAUCGUGCCCAGAGCUCUCCUUGGGGGUGGAUGACAGAAUGAACAUUUACUCUGGGCUCACUGGAAAAGCUCCAACGUCUUGGAAAUUGAGUGGGUAAGCACAACCUUGAGCACAUUGUCAGCAUUCCAUUUCUUUUUUGAAUAAGAAUAUGCAGUUUUACCAAUAUCAUUGGUUCAAGAGGCUUUCCUUUCCCAGUUGUGUAUUCUUGGCACCUUUGUUGAAGAUCACUUGACUGUGUAUGUGUGCAUUUAGUUCUGGGCUCUCUUUUCUCUCCCAGGGGUUCUAAUGGGUGCCCUUAUGCUAGGACCAUGCUGUCUAAAUUUCUGUGGCUUUGUUGUAAAUUUGAAUCUUAUGAAUGUCUGUCCUCCAACACUAUUCUUUUUCAUGUUAUCAUGGCUAUUUGAGGCCAUGGGAAAAUUCAUAAAAAUAAUUUUAGGAUUAGCUUUUCCAUUUCUGCACACAUGGCCAUUACCAGUUCGAUAAUAGUUGUUUUGAGUCUGUAGAUCAUUUGUGUAAUAUUGUGUAUUAGUAAGAUUUAGACUUCCUAUCCAUGAAUACAGGAUGCCUUUUCACUUAUUUUUACCUUCUUUGCUUUCUUUCAGUAGUCUUUCUUUCUAAUCACUCUACAAGUAUUUCACCUCCUUGGUUAGGUUUAUUCCUAAGUAUUUAGUUAUUUUAGAUGUUAUUAUAAGUGGGAUUACAUUUGUCAUCUUCUUGUUGGAUCAUUCACUGUUGGUUUGUAUUAACAAACCAAUCAUUUGAAUAUUGGCCUUGUACCCUGCAACUUUGAUGUAAUUAUUAACACUAAUAGCAUUCUUGGAGAUUAUUUCUGAUUUUCUAUAUGUAGAAUGAUAGAGAAGUUCUGUUUCACACCUAUUUUCUCAAGAUAGUCUAUAUUGAUACUGUAAAGAUAUGUUCAUAUUCACCUACUGAAUGAUGUCCUUCCAAAAGGCCUUGUUAGAUUAUUCAAAAAAUAUUUUGUCAUUACAUUCCACAAUUUAAUAAAAAAUAGUAAUUCAUUGUCCAUAA